CUCUUUGCUCAUCAUUCUUUUCUGAAAUCUCCUUCAUGUAUCAAUAGUCAUUAACUUCAGCAUGUUUCCUAUUAGAUUCCUGCAACCUUUAUGUCUCAUGUUUUAGCUAGAGCAGAUUAUAAACACUACUAGGCUUCUUACAACCCAUCAUCUACAUGAAGGGUUCGUCAUAGACUAUAACCAAUCUUCUUAUAAGAGUUUAAUCCUUGAAAGUUCUGUCUUCUAGGGCUGUUCUUGUUGCUCACUUAGCAAUGAAUCAAGAAAUUAAAUAAAUUGUUCAAUUUGCUUUGGAGGUGGCUAUAUUUUUUUCUUUUCCGAGAGAGAUGACAAUGAAUCACAGGGAUCGGACUGUGCUCGCUGUGGGAUGGACAAGUACGGUGGAAACCAAGGAAGCAAGUAGAGCAAGCAUAUGACAGGAGUUCCAUUGGCUGGUACGUAUCGUUCAUUCUCUCACGUAGUAUAAAGAGUUAACAGACUUGUCCUUUGGCUGAGCAGAAAAAAGUCUGCUCUUAAGAGCACAAAUAAUCUAAGCUUGAUUUAAGACUACAGGCUUAGAUUAUAUCCGUUGAGGUAUCCUUAUUUCUCAUAUCAAACAUACUUAAAAUUCCUCAUCCUCGAAGAAUAUGCUGACUUAAGUAUUGGGAAAGAAUUACAAAGAUCUUUAUAACAUGAAGUGAUGUAUCUGCUUGAUUAACUGGGUGUUCUCUGACAAGAAUCCAAGUUGCAGCAAUUCAAUAGUGAUCUCUGUAGAAAUUUAGGCAUCAAGAUUGACAAGAAAGCUAUGGGGUUGAUAGUUUCAUCCACUGAACAAUACAGUGGGUGAGUUUAUCUGCAAGACUUUAGCUUCUGAUCAGGCAUGAAAGGGAUUUAAGUUCACACAAACAACCUAAUUUUAUUAUAUCGAGGAAUUUACGCAACCAUAUCCUGUGCUCAGAGAACGGGCUUAUGUCACUCUUCUUCUUAUGCAGUUCUAAGGAUUCUCUUAAGGCAGAAAAAAAAAAAAUCCAGGUUUGCAGGUCAUCAUAUACAUCUUGAAUUGUCACAUUCAUUGUUAUGCACCAGUUUUAAGAUUCAAGCACCGCUUUAUGAUAUGAUAUUUCAUUUUCAUACAUUUUUUCAUUUCUAGUAUAAGAAAAACAAAACUCAGUUUAUAUUUCAACACUUCAACUUAACCAUCAUCAGAUAAUCUUUAUAGGCCCCAACUAGAAAUUGGUUCCUGAUUCAUUUCUUGAUAUUUCAUAUCAUAAAGGAGUAACCUUAUAUCAAGUAACUAUAUCAUGUCAUAAAGGAGUAACCUUAUCAUUGUAUCAAGUUCUAUCUUCUUCUUAUUUUAUAUUAUCUUACAAUAAAAUAAUGAUCCAGUUAUUUAUUUUCAACUUAAAUCUUGUGGAUGUGGUAUUUUGAUAGGAAUCUCAUGCAUUGGAUUUAUUUUACCUUUUUUUUUUAAUUUUCGUAUUAUUGUGAGAAAUUAUCAACUAUAAGAUGUAAGAAAAAACAAUUAGUGGGCAUUCAUUGUGUACUACUUUGUGUAACACGACAAGGUCGAGAAUUUAUGUGUGAGUUCGAAUGCACUGAAGUUAUUAUCUGGCUAGGAAUAAGAUGUGACCUUCCAUGAUCAUAAAGAGAUGCUCCCAAAAAGAUAUUAUAUAUCUCAAAGUCCUAUGAGUUAUCCUUGUAUACCAUUUUCCACUUAGGAUUUGUGUUAGUUUUGUGGCCCCAUUUGAAGAGAGUGUGAUAUCUUAAUUAGUCUCACACUAGAUAUAAAUUACAACUGUAAGUAUUCUUUUUAGAGUUGUGCAACUGUAAUAUUACAGAAGUUUGAGUUAUGAUUAUGUGGUCUUUAAAUAAAUAAAGGAAUAUUUGGAAAAACAUUUUGGCUCUGAAAUUUAAAGAGAUAAGUUUAGUGUGAUAAUAUUUUUUUGGUAUUCCAGUUAGAGUGGGGGAAAAAAUGGAAUUUGGGAUAGGGAUUGAGACAUAUGAGUGUUGUGAUGGGUUCAGAAGAACCCACCAAUUAAGAUGGAGGGGCAGCACAAGAGGACAAGGAUUCCACUACCUCGCCCUCGUGCACUGCGGGAAAAGGAGAAUGAAAGCAACAAAGUGGUGCAAGAGCUCCAUGGGUGGGAGCGCCACUCGCCCGCAGACUUGUCCUCUGCCUUGGCGACUACCGGACAAUGGCAGGGGAGGCGUAGCUCUCAUGGGCAUUCAUCUUCCCAAGCUUUGUUGCCUGUUUCCAGGACAAAUCCCUUUCUUCUUUCUUUCUACUGCUAAUGUAAGCGAGAGCUUGAAAGAGAAAUCUUGCUUUGUUGCCGCCAGGGCCCCAACCAUUGGCAGCCUCCCUCUGGUGCAAGAUGCUACAUUACAGAUGAAGAAAAGUUGGGGACUAUUACGCUGCUGUCAGUGGAGGACAAGCUACUCUAGCUGAGAGCAUGUGUUCAUUUGCAUCCACUUCCAAUUUCAGAAAAAGUAGGCUGUCUCAGCUUGUCUCU